rnacentral:rRNA from 1 species
UGGGGAAUUUUGGACAAUGGGCGAAAGCCUGAUCCAGCAAUGCCGCGUGUGUGAAGAAGGCCUUCGGGUUGUAAAGCACUUUUGUCCGGAAAGAAAUCCUUGGCUCUAAUACAGUCGGGGGAUGACGGUACCGGAAGAAUAAGCACCGGCUAACUACGUGCCAGCAGCCGCGGUAAUACGUAGGGUGCAAGCGUUAAUCGGAAUUACUGGGCGUAAAGCGUGCGCAGGCGGUUUGCUAAGACCGAUGUGAAAUCCCCGGGCUCAACCUGGGAACUGCAUUGGUGACUGGCAGGCUAGAGUAUGGCAGAGGGGGGUAGAAUUCCACGUGUAGCAGUGAAAUGCGUAGAGAUGUGGAGGAAUACCGAUGGCGAAGGCAGCCCCCUGGGCCAAUACUGACGCUCAUGCACGAAAGCGUGGGGAGCAAAACAGGAUUAGAUACCCCUGGUAGUCCACGCCCUAAACGAUGUCAACUAGUUGUUGGGGAUUCAUUUCCUUAGUAACGUAGCUAACGCGUGAAGUUGACCGCCUGGGGAGUACGGUCGCAAGAUUAAAACUCAAAUGAAUUG